AGUAGGUAGUUUAACCUUCGGGGGGACGCUUACCACUUUGUGGUUCAUGACUGGGGUGAAGUCGUAACAAGGUAGCGCUAGGGGAACCUGGCGCUGGAUCACCUCCUUAWACGAUGAU
rnacentral:rRNA from 1 species